ACGGGUGAGUAACACGUGAGUAACCUGCCUUAGACAUUGGGAUAGCCUCGGGAAACCGGGAUUAAUACCGAAUAACAUCACAUAGACACAUGUCAUUGUGAUCAAAACUCCGGUGGUCUAAGAUGGACUCGCGUCCCAUUAGCUAGUUGGUGAGGUAACGGCCCACCAAGGCGACGAUGGGUAGCCGGCCUGAGAGGGUGAACGGCCACAUUGGAACUGAGAAACGGUCCAAACUCCUACGGGAGGCAGCAGUGGGGAAUAUUGCACAAUGGGGGAAACCCUGAUGCAGCGACGCCGCGUGAACGAAGAAGGCUUUCGAGUCGUAAAGUUCUUUUAUAUGGGAAGAUAAUGACGGUACCAUAAGAAAAAGCCCCGGCUAACUACGUGCCAGCAGCCGCGGUAAUACGUAGGGGGCUAGCGUUGUCCGGAAUCACUGGGCGUAAAGGGUUCGCAGGCGGAAAUGCAAGUCAGAUGUAAAAGGCAGUAGCUUAACUACUGUAAGCAUUUGAAACUGCAUAUCUUGAGAAGAGUAGAGGUAAGUGGAAUUUUUAGUGUAGCGGUGAAAUGCGUAGAUAUUAAAAAGAAUACCGGUGGCGAAGGCGACUUACUGGGCUCAUUCUGACGCUGAGGAACGAAAGCGUGGGUAGCAAACAGGAUUAGAUACCCUGGUAGUCCACGCUGUAAACGAUGAGUGCUAGGUGUCGGCGUAAG
rnacentral:rRNA from 1 species